UCCGGCUUAUCACCGGCGGUUUCUUUAGAGUGCCCAACUAAAUGAUGGCAACUAACGAUAAGGGUUGCGCUCGUUGCGGGACUUAACCAACACCUCACGGCACGAGCUGACGACAGCCAUGCAGCACCUGUUCAGCGGCUCCGAAGAGCGUUUGUAUUUCUACAAACUUCCACUGUAUGUCAAGUCUGGGUAAGGUUCUUCGCGUUGCAUCGAAUUAAACCACAUGCUCCACUGCUUGUGCGGGUCCCCGUCAAUUCUUUUGAGUUUCACCCUUGCGAGCGUACUCCCCAGGCGGUAUACUUAUCGCGUUAGCUACGGCACAGCCAGGGUUGAUUCCGGCUACACCAAGUAUACAUCGUUUACAGCAAGGACUAC
rnacentral:misc_RNA from 1 species